UCCUGUGCCUGGCUUGGAGGGUCCUA
rnacentral:piRNA from 1 species